UACGAAGGGGGCUAGCGUUGCUCGGAAUUACUGGGCGUAAAGCGCACGUAGGCGGAUUGUUAAGUCGGGGGUGAAAUCCUGGAGCUCAACUCCAGAACUGCCUUCGAUACUGGCGAUCUCGAGUUCGGGAGAGGUGAGUGGAACUGCGAGUGUAGAGGUGAAAUUCGUAGAUAUUCGCAAGAACACCAGUGGCGAAGGCGGCUCACUGGCCCGGUACUGACGCUGAGGUGCGAAAGCGUGGGGAGCAAACAGGG
rnacentral:rRNA from 1 species